UAGAUCUUAGGUUAUUUAAACUUUAAAUUUUCAAGAUUUAAGAAACGGAGUGUAGUUCUAG
rnacentral:tRNA from 1 species